UCAGUUCAGACUGCAGGCUGCAACUCGCCUGCACGAAGUCGGAAUUGCUAGUAAUCGUAGGUCAGCAUACUACGGUGAAUACGUUCCCGGGCCUUGUACACACCGCCCGUCACACCAUGAGAGUCGGGAACACCCGAAGUCCGUAGCCUAACCGCAAGGGGGGCGCGGCCGAAGGUGGGUUCGAUAAUUGGGGUGAAGUCGUAACAAGGUAUC
rnacentral:rRNA from 1 species